rnacentral:rRNA from 1 species
CCUACGGGUGGCAGCAGUGGGGAAUAUUGGACAAUGGGCGAAAGCCUGAUCCAGCCAUGCCGCGUGUGUGAAGAAGGCCUUCGGGUUGUAAAGCACUUUCAGUGGGGAAGAAAGCCUUGGGGCUAAUACCCUCGAGGAAGGACAUCACCCACAGAAGAAGCACCGGCCAACUCCGUGCCAGCAGCCGCGGUAAUACGGAGGGUGCGAGCGUUAAUCGGAAUUACUGGGCGUAAAGCGCGCGUAGGCGGUCUGAUAAGCCGGUUGUGAAAGCCCCGGGCUCAACCUGGGAACGGCAUCCGGAACUGUCAGGCUAGAGUGCAGGAGAGGAAGGUAGAAUUCCCGGUGUAGCGGUGAAAUGCGUAGAGAUCGGGAGGAAUACCAGUGGCGAAGGCGGCCUUCUGGACUGACACUGACGCUGAGGUGCGAAAGCGUGGGUAGCAAACAGGACUAGAUACCCCAGUAGUC